GGAAUAACAUCUUAAAACUUCAGUAGAACACAUGUAUAGAAUAGAAUUAAGGAAACAACCAAAGAAAAACUUCGAAUAGCUAGGGUUUCAGAGAACCCUAGAACGAGAAAGGCUUGGAAAAGGUCUGAUCUUGAGUCGGACGAGUUAGAACCUGGCUCGUAAUGCUUUGGAUGUGCCAGAGCAAGGCCGGAGAGGCCCCAAACCCAUGGAUAUAAGGAGAUCUGAAAAGACACCAUCGAGGUCAGACCUCAAAACUUCGAACCCCAAACGUUUAAGAGUUGAAGGAUGUGAGUACAUGCCAUCCAUGGCCUGAGAAGACAUGGAUUCCAGUGAGCGUGCAGUUGAAAAUGGUAGAAGAGAACUAGGGUUUCAGGAGCCUUCGAGAGAGUUUUGAAAGAGGAGAGUGUUUGAAGGCAGCUAAGAG
rnacentral:lncRNA from 1 species